GAGAUGAAGUAUACUUAGUACAUUUACUUUUCACCAGGGAAGUAGGUGAUGCUUGUAGCAUUUCUAAUAAGGCAUUCUUGAAAAAGGCCGAUAUCGGUGCAGCAUAUUGUUGUUUUGUAGGUUGUGAUGAAGUGAGUCAUUCUGUAAGUGACUAAUAUUCAUUAAAAGCUUGAUGACUGAGUGUAGCCAGGAAUUGUUUAUGGAUUUUUCUGACGCAGAAUUUCUUUUUCUUGGAAAAGGCUUGGAGAAUACGUUGGGCCUAAAGUUAUACUGGUAAUAAACGUGUCGCCUACUCAUAUUCAACCUGAAGUUAUAAACUCAAGUCGGCGACACAUUAAUCAUACUUUGUAUUUUGUGCUCAGUAGAGAACUAGGUCCUCUCUGGAUUUUAAAAGAGUGUGUAGUUGUUGAUGUAAAAGCCUCCAUUACUGACCAAAAUGCCGUAGAGAACUUCCUCUCCAGAACCAAAUAUACUUCUAUAUAUUAUCAGCCAGAUGAUGACCGCCACUCAAUUACUAGUUUAAAUUGGAGGGCCAACAGGACUGAUGAUGACAUGUGACUGAUAGAGCUUUAAUUACCUCCCUUGCCACAGUUGGCAGGGGCAGGUCUAAGCCAGGGUUAUGAGCGACAACAAAUUAGGUUAACAUUUCACAUCUCACAUCUGGGACACACUUCUUCUUGAGAAGGCCGAUCCACUCAGUGGUCUUCGUAGGAAGUGUACCAGAUGUGAAAUAAGGGGAAAUAACAGUGCUUAAUGAUUUCGAUUUUUGAGUUGUUGAUUUGGUUUUUACCAGCAUUUUUUCAGUGUAGUCCUCAAGACAAGAAAUUACAAAAUGUCAUUUAUUUCCGACGUUAAAGGUUUAAUGGCAUGAUCAAUCAAAUCUGAAAAAACAAAAAUUUAGUCAUUUGAUUGAUCAUUUGAUUACAUUACCGUUACAUAUUUGAUGACAUUAUUUUAGAUGAGCUUUUGGGUAUUCUAUUAGCGGUUUAGCUCAGGGCUGUGAAGCAGCUGAUGCACCUCCAGCACGUAAUAAUUUAAGGCCGAUUGCAAUGUCCUCGUGUGACACUCCAGAUAAGAGACACGUUUUACGGGAACAAGCCAAGUAUGACAUCUGCCAGCCGAGCAACAGAGUUGCUCUCCUCCCCUCACCAUCUGUCCAUCUGAAUCUGAUUGGCCACCCUGUAUGCCCCCCCCCACCCCACCCACUAAUGGUCAUUGAUUCGGGGUAAUGUCAAUCAUUGCGCUAAAGCUCUUUACCGACGCUGCACGUUAUUCUGCACGUUAACUCAUUCUGAGUUCAAUCUCUAGUCUAGAUGGUGUUCGAUUACUUUUGUUUUGCCUCGUGCAGCCUGUAGGGGAAUAGCGUGCUUGCCGUCUCCUCGGCCAUUUCAACUUUGGACUUCAACUUUCUAUACAGUGUCUCCUCUGCACGGUCCAGGGCCUCCAUGGUGUGGAGGGGCAGCUCCAAGGGCUCCAAGGAGGCCAGUCCCACAGACACAGUCUGUCCACGCUUGCAGGAGUGGACGUAUUGCCUGAAUUCCUCCCGCAGUUCCUUCACCUCCUUGGACAACUCCGUCACCGCAGUCAGCAGUUUCUGCAUAGCCACAUCUAUUGACAAAGAAAAUAAUAACAUUUGAAUGUAAAAGCUGACGCCCUUUUACUUAAAAAUUUCAGAAAGUGUUGAACAACUUUUGAAGAGUUAUAUAUAUUUAAGCAAUGCCAUUGGUUUAAGCUAAUUGUUGAUAGAUGGUACAUCCUUCAAUGAUUCAAAGAAUUGAGGAAACAUUUACACAUGAAUGAAAGCCUAGAAAUAGCCUUAGAACAUAACAUUCCUGUACUUGCCUUUUAAUGCCAUUCUGGCAGUGCCUGGAGAAUCUGUAACAAGUAUGAAGAGAGAAAUUAAACCAUUUGACUGGAUAUACUGCAGUUGUUUUGGAUGUUUGAAUUGACAUGAAUUACUUCAAACAUACCUUCAGGAGAUGGCCUCUGGAAUUGAGGCAUUGGACCGGGUGGAGGGUAGGCCAAUUCAUCUCCUGGGAACGCUAUUGGGAUAGGGACAUUGGGGUUAGGGAAAUUGGGGCGUUGGAGGCUAUAAUGCAUCUUUGGAGGUGAUGGUUGGCUGUCCUGACUGGCUUGUUGGGUUGCUGGUUUGUCUAAAGAAAAAAAAGAUGUGGGGGGCCGGGAAAGGUGGUUAGGGGCUGAUCUGUGCGUAGGUCAGUGCGUAGGUCAGCAGGUCGAGCAGCACCCGUGCUGCCGUCCCCUCCAAGGCCAGCGCAAGGUGGAUGACCGCCUCCUCGGCACCCCAGCAGUUGUGCCACUCUGCAAGCCGGAACUGGGCCAGGUGAGGCUCCAGUGCCGUUGCCCGAGAGCACUCCGGCAGCCUGACCGCUGUCCAUGCCACCAGGGGGCGGUAGGCAGCUGCUAGUUCUCCAGCCAUUCCGGUCUUGGCCAAAGGGGGGCGCUGCACUCCCAUAACGCAGGGUGCGUCGUUCUCCAUUGGCUCGACCGUCGGUCUCGAGUCCCUCCUCGCGUGCGGAGGCCACAUCCAAUCUAAUGCACAAAAGUAUUUUAUGUGGAAAAAAUGACUUAUGCCUAUAAGUCAAUGUUGUUUAUUCAUAUGUGAAUGAAUGUUUAUUGAAUGUUUUAUGAAUCAAAUGUUUGAUGAAUGUUUAUUCAUAUGAAUGAAUAAACAUUCAUUCAUGUUUAUUGAGAUCGUAGUCGUGCUUAAUAUUUUUUAGGUUAGUUUGACAUCUUCAAGUUAUAAAAUCCUCCUAAUGCUUUCAUUUAAAUCUACUCUUUCUUCAGUGCUUCAGUGCAGGGUUCUGCAUAGCGUGCCUGCCUGAGAUCUAUUUGAGUUCAAUGUAGGUGUACUUACAAGUAUACUUAACUGAUCUUCCUUAAAGGUUAUUUGCAAUAUAUUUCCGGUAAAGUGUAUGUGCGUCUUUGAUGCAACCGGCACGGUUUCGCACAGUGCGCCUGCCGUGGUUAUUACUUGUAUACUCUGGCAGUUAUGUUUCUGCUGUUUCACAUGUGCAUGCAGUGCUGAAAUAAGCAUUUUCAAACGAAUACUUCCAAUCUAAUGCACAAAAGUAUUUUAUGUGCAAAAAAUGACUUGGGCAUAUUGUUGGGGAAAAUAAACAUUCAUGUUUAUUGA